rnacentral:rRNA from 1 species
AGGGAAUAUUGGGCAAUGGACGCAAGUCUGACCCAGCCAUGCCGCGUGCAGGAAUGACGGCCCUAUGGGUUGUAAACUGCUUUUCUGCAAGAAGAAACCCCCGUACGUGUACGGGGCUGACGGUAUUGCAGGAAUAAGCAUCGGCUAACUCCGUGCCAGCAGCCGCGGUAAUACGGAGGAUGCAAGCGUUAUCCGGAUUCAUUGGGUUUAAAGGGUGCGCAGGCGGAUUAGUAAGUCAGUGGUGAAAGCCUACAGCUUAACUGUAGAACUGCCGUUGAUACUGCUAAUCUUGAGUGUAGUUGAGGUAGGCGGAAUGUGUCAUGUAGCGGUGAAAUGCUUAGAUAUGACACAGAACACCGAUCGUGAAGACAGCUUACCAAGCUACAACUGACGCUCAUGCACGAAAGCGUGGGGAUCAAAC